GACGAACGCUGGCGGCGUGCCUAAUACAUGCAAGUAGAACGCUGAAGAGAGGAGCUUACUCUUCUUGGAUGAGUUGCGAACGGGUGAGUAACGCGUAGGUAACCUGCCUUGUAGCGGGGGAUAACUAUUGGAAACGAUAGCUAAUACCGCAUAACAAUGGAUGACACAUGUCAUUUAUUUGAAAGGGGCAAUUGCUCCACUACAAGAUGGACCUGCGUUGUAUUAGCUAGUAGGUGAGGUAAUGGCUCACCUAGGCGACGAUACAUAGCCGACCUGAGAGGGUGGUCCGCCCCACUGGGGCUUGGACACGGCCCAGACACCUACGGGGGGCAGCAGUAAGGAAUCUUCGGCAAUGGGGGCAAACCUGACCGAGCAACGCCGCGUGAGUGAAGGAGGUUUUCGGAUCGUAAAGCUCUGUUGUUAGUCAAGAACGGGUGUGAGGGUGGAAAGUUCACACUGUGACGGUAGCUUACCAGAAAGGGACGGCUAACUACGUG
rnacentral:rRNA from 1 species